CAAGUACAUGUAAUAAGACCUAACCGAUUAUAGCAGGUUUCUUGAUAUUAUUGACACAAUUCGUUUUAAUGUGCCUUUAUUCAAGAAUUAAACAAUAUUUCUUGGUGCUUUCUAUCCAUCCCACUUGCUAGCUCAUUAGCAAGCUAAUUGAAGCUAUCGACUUGAAGCCAGCUAGCUCUCCGACCGUGAUAAGUCAAUUUUGAGUUUUCUCGCUGGCAAACAAGUGGCGCCACAGUGGAACGGAAGAUGCAAACUACAGUGGCUGUGCGGCAGAUCCUGAAAGUGAAAGACCGGGGGAGGGAGGAGAACCUGCAGAUUGAGGACAAAUGCGGUUGAGAGCAGAGGGCUUGCCGGAGCGUCCAGAGAGUCGGCAGCAGCCACAAGGGGGACGGGGAGAGACGGGCACCUAAAGGCGACGCCGUGUCCGAUGUGCACGAGCACACCUCGUAGCCGUUCUCUGCGUGGUCCGGGUGUUGGCGCACGUUGACUCUGGUCUCGGUGCUUUUGGGCUCCGCGCCCGGAGAGUCCGACUGCAUCUCGGUGCACAGCAGCCAGUCUUUGGAGAUGAGGCGGGGGUAGCCCGCCUCCACCUCCAUGUCGCUGCUCGGCACACGCCAGUACUCUUUCCCCUUGAAGAAGUAGGACGAACCUGGAACAGGAACAUGGGAUUUGAUUGGAGCCUUCGGGCAAACGAGACACAAAA